AGUGAACGCUGGCGGUAGGCCUAACACAUGCAAGUCGAACGGCAGCACAGGAGAGCUUGCUCUCUGGGUGGCGAGUGGCGGACGGGUGAGGAAUACAUCGGAAUCUACUUUUUCGUGGGGGAUAACGUAGGGAAACUUACGCUAAUACCGCAUACGACCUACGGGUGAAAGCAGGGGAUCUUCGGACCUUGCGCGAUUGAAUGAGCCGAUGUCGGAUUAGCUAGUUGGCGGGGUAAAGGCCCACCAAGGCGACGAUCCGUAGCUGGUCUGAGAGGAUGAUCAGCCACCCUGGAACUGAGACACGGUCCAGACUCCUACGGGGGGCAGCAGUGGGGAAUAUUGGACAAUGGGCGCAAGCCUGAUCCAGCCAUACCGCGUGGGUGAAGAAGGCCUUCGGGUUGUAAAGCCCUUUUGUUGGGAAAGAAAUCCAGCUGGUUAAUACCCGGUUGGGAUGACGGUACCCAAAGAAUAAGCACCGGCUAACUUCGUGCCAGCCGCCGCGGUAA
rnacentral:rRNA from 1 species